GGACCUGACUGCUAUCGGAUUGAUACUAAGCCAUGCGAGUCUUUGUAGUAAUACAAGGCAUACGGCUCAGUAACACGUAGUCAACCUACCCUAUGGAUGAGAAUAAUCUCGGGAAACUGAGCAUAAUACUCAAUAGAUCAUAAUGCCUGGAAUGGUUUAUGGUUAAAAUGAUUCGUCGCCAUAGGAUGGGACCGCGGCCUAUCAGCUUGUUGGUGAGGUAAUGGCCCACCAAGGCGAUUACAGGUACGGGCUCUGAGAGGAGAAGCCCGGAGAUGGGUACUGAGACAAGGACCCAGGCCCUAUGGGGCGCAGCAGGCGAGAAAACUUUGCGAAUGUGCGAAAGCACGACGAGGUUAGUCCGAGUGAUUUCUGCUAAAGAGAAUCUUUUGUCGAGUUAUAAAACCGACUAAUGAAUAAGGGGUGGGCGAAGUUCUGGUGUCAGCG
rnacentral:rRNA from 1 species